GCACCGCUAGCUCAGAUGGUUAGAGCAGCUGACUCUUAAUCAGCGGGUCCGGGGUUCGAUUCCCUGGCGGUGCA
rnacentral:tRNA from 2 species